UGUGUGUGUGUGUGUGUGUGUGUGUGUGUGUAUCGAGGAGGGGUGUAAGAAAAAGAAUGAAAGGGGGAAGAGGCGCCCACCGUCAGGAAAAUGAAAUAGUGAGAGUAAAGUGCGCAGGUGCACCCAGGACGCCGAUCUCGGUCGCACCGGCCUGGGGUGUGCGCCUUCCCUCCUCGUGUUGGAGAGACGGACGUAUCCUCCACCUUGGGGUGCUUUGGUCAAUCCGGAUCGCAGAGUUCGGGGCUGCUUGGUACCUAAGAACGGCGGUGGAGACGACGUCUAACACGGGAGGUUUCCCGUCUCUCUGGGAUAAUCCCUCCCGGGCAUGUAACUUGAGGAUGUCCGGCUGCCGCCCUCGGCAGUGUCCCGACCCCUAACUCAGGAACUUCUUUCCAAAGAGCCACACUACCAGUGUAGCCCGAGUCCUAGAGGUUACUGAUGGGGUAACCCUCCUUAAUUCUGUGACCCGGGUUCGUAGCGAGGCUUGAAAAGCUCCAGAGAAGAGGCCUGGCCGUGUGCUCAGGCAAACGGGUCUCAGGCUCGCUCUUUUCCUCUCCCGGGUCCUUCGCCACUACUCUCCGCGCGCCAUCCCGACAGUCCUGGGAGCGGGGACUACCCGGGGCUGCUGGACUGAAUAAAGUGGACCGUCCAGACAGGACUGACCGGUGCCUGGAGAGGAGAGGGAAGGAACGCGAGAGGGAGGGGCGGCUGCCUGUGAGAACCGGUUCUUCCAGGGAAGCGGAGCGGGACUGCUGCGUUCCCCUCGAUUUGCGCCGUCACUCGGGCUGUUUGGAAAGAAGAGGGAGGCGCUGUGCGUGCCGCCUUCUACCUGGAUCUGGGCGUACAGUGUGUGUUCACUCCCGUGCCGCUGGGCGAAUUCUCUGGACUUCCGUAACGUCCGGAGCUAGUUCGAGGGUCACCUCCAGAAACUCGUAGAAAGUAGAAGGGGUGAGAGGACACACCCCCUUCCUCCGAGGGACUUGGGAGACUUUGAAUCCCCCCCCCCCCACUUUUCCGCAGAGCUCUUCUUUUGUUGUCAAGUCCUUUUGAUAAAUGGUGGGGCUGGGAGCACUGGGAGCCAGGAGCCGAUCUGUGCCCUGCGCAGGGGCGGGGGCCGAGCCUGGAGACCGGUUUCCGACCACCGCGCACCCUGAUCUGAACCCGGUACUUGCAGGGGUCCGGUUGGGGACUUCCCUUCGGCUUGCUAGCCCAUUCCUCUCCUACCACCCCAGUCUCCCCCACCCCCCUUUUUUAAAAUCUCCCACUCCAUACGGGUAACGAGAACUUUCUGGGGUGGGGAUGAGUUUUAGAAUUUUCUCGUAGGUAUUCUUUCACGCCGUUUUGAUUUUAUUCCUUGAUUCCUUAGGUUGGCAAAGUUAAUGAGCUGGUAACUCGAUUAAUGCUAAUUUGGAGAGGAGAGGUGGUUUGUGCUUGGGGCUGGUGUGCAUGCGGGCGUAUGUGUGUGUGUGUGUGUGUUAAGAACACCUGCACUCAGGAAGGUUUGUGGUGCCUCUGCGACAAUUGAGGAAGGUAAGUCUGUUUCACCGUGGCAAGAUCACACGCAGAGAUGUGAAGGUCCCCUGAAUAGUCCCUGGAGACAAGAGUCCCAGAGUACAGUUUGCCAGGGUGGCAGCUCCAAACUGUCUGCCUGGCAAUGUGUCCGAAGCCAUUUGUAGCCUGCGGGUGUUAGUGCCUGACAGUGUCACCGAUUGCAUGGCUGUGACGGUGUCGCCUCUGGCCAACUACUGUGGUCCCAAGCGUAGCAAGCUCGGCCUUGGACCGUCUGCCAUUUUGGCCUCUUCGACAGGCCUGGACAUCGGAAGCUGGCGCUGUGGAGAGAACUAAGGGUAGCCGGAGCGCAAGCCUGGGCCGUCCUCAGUGUGUCCCCUUUCCUCCCAAUUCCAGUAGUUUUCUUAUUGCAUUAGGCAGUUCGAGGGAGGCCGCCCCAGCGCUUCAAGCCUGGUGGGACCGUGGAAUGGCUCUUGCUCCAGAACGAUUACAUGCGCUCAUGGGUAUGCGCGGUGUUCCGUGAGCUCCGGCCCUUGGCUGCCUGCGUUUACUUGGCUCAAAACUCAACUCUGCAGGUCGGAGCUCGCGGGGGCACCUAGGGUGUCUGCGUUCCACCGCCUUUGGGGGGGGGGGACACACCAUCAUCCGAGCCCGCGCACUUCUCAAGGGAGGCCAAAUCCCCGAAGGCCGGCGCAAGCUAUGUAGGUGGGGGGUUAUUAAUUACUCCAGGCUAGGCCUAAUACCUCCAACCCUCUGAGGUGGUAGGCAUGGAUGUCCUGCGGAUUUUAUUUGCACACAAUGGACAUGAUUUGUUUUCUCUUUAAAAAAAAAAAAGGUGUGGGCAUGGCCGAUAUUUGAGGAGGUGGAGGAGAGAAGGCGGAAAGGAAGAGAGCCGAGGAAAAAAGUUUGAAAAUGCCUUGAACUAUUCACUGUCGAGAUGGCUAAUCAGUACUGAGGCCGGAGGGCAGGCGGGCCGCCUUUCACCGCUGAUUCCCUUUCAUCUCUGGCUCGGCGGAGGCGCUCAAUUAAAAGCCUAUCAGUUUACCCAAAGCCGGACUAAGCCAGGACUGAGAGCUGAUUGAAGUGUCUGACGGGAGAGGGCUCUUGGAGGGACCCCAGGGCCUGCUAGUUUAAAUGCCAGCUCUUCUCGAAGACACUGUCUGAGGUUUACGACCACAAGAACCCCCAAAGUACUCAGCAGUUGAACAUCCACCCUGAGCCUCUGCAAGCAGCAGCAAUCCUUCUGGGAUUGAAGGCGGCCACUAUCUAACAAAACCUACUGCAGACUUCUUGGUGCACCGGGCUACAGGAUUGGGGGUGCCCACAUAAGCCUCCCCAAAGCGCCUCAAUUUGUCCUCACUCUCCAGUCUUACAAAAAUAAUUUAUUUAUAAAUCUAGAAAUAUUGUAUAUUCAUAUAUAUAUAUGUGUGUGUGUGUAUACGAUGCACUGUGGCUCAGUUAACUGCUGGCCUGCUUUUCUUAUGCAUUUAUUUACAUCACCUUCACUGAUACUUAAGAGCUAUAGACAGGACACUCCUCCACUCUGGCUGUAGGAAAUAUGCACUGGGUGGUUAUUUAGACAUAAGUUCUAUCUUGGGCCCUGAUGACACCCAAACAAGGGAUGUAAAAAAUCCAUCACAUGUAAAAACAAAACAAAACAAAAAACAAAUCAAAACCCUGAUUUAUAAUUUUCCCAACAUUAAUUAUAUGUGCACACAUUUAGAAUUUAAGAAUAUUUUUUAUCCUAUAGAUCUCAGUUUCCAGAGGUGUUGUGUUAUGUGCCCCAGAAGCCAGAAGCAAUAAGCGGUGUUGGUACUGAGCGCCAAGAUGUUUGUGCAAUUUUAUCCUCAUAUGGAUAAAACUUAAACAUGGCUAUAUAAUAAAUUCAACCUUGUCAUUUUUAGAAUCGA